rnacentral:tRNA from 1 species
UGAGAAGUAGUUUAAUUGAAAAACAAGAAGUUUUGAUCUUCUAAAUAUAAGUUCAAAACUUAUUUUUUCAA